GGCAGAGUGGUUGAAUGCGCCGGUCUCGAAAACCGGUAACGGGUUCUCCCCGUUCGAGGGUUCGAACCGAGCGUCAGCGA
rnacentral:tRNA from 1 species